rnacentral:rRNA from 1 species
UACGAAGGACCCGAGCGUUAUCGUGAUUCAUUGGGUUUAAAGGGUGCGUAGGCGGAUUGAUAAGUCAGUGGUGAAAGCCCAUCGCUUAACGAUGGAACUGCCAUUGAUACUGUCGAUCUUGAGUACAUUUGAAGUGGGCGGAAUGUGUCAUGUAGCGGUGAAAUGCUUAGAUAUGACACAGAACACCGAUUGCGAAGGCAGCUUACUACACAGUUAUUGACGCUGAGGCACGAAAGCGUGGGGGAUCAAACAGG